UCCUACGGGAGGCAGCAGUGGGGAAUAUUGGACAAUGGGGGGAACCCUGAUCCAGCCAUGCCGCGUGUGUGAAGAAGGCCUUUUGGUUGUAAAGCACUUUAAGCGAGGAGGAGGCUACCUAGAUUAAUACUCUGGGAUAGUGGACGUUACUCGCAGAAUAAGCACCGGCUAACUCUGUGCCAGCAGCCGCGGUAAUACAGAGGGUGCAAGCGUUAAUCGGAUUUACUGGGCGUAAAGCGUGCGUAGGUGGCCAAUUAAGUCAAAUGUGAAAUCCCUGAGCUUAACUUAGGAAUUGCAUUCGAUACUGGUUGGCUAGAGUAUGGGAGAGGAUGGUAGAAUUCCAGGUGUAGCGGUGAAAUGCGUAGAGAUUAGGAAGAACACCAGUGGCGAAGGCGACUUUCUGGACUGUAACUGACACUGAGAUACGAAAGCGUGGGUAGCAAACAGGAUUAGAUACCCUGGUAGUCC
rnacentral:rRNA from 1 species